UAGCAACCACAGUCAAACCAUUUUUUUUCCAUUUCCUCUUACAUCACCCCGUGCCAGCGGAGCCUGGGGAUGUGCUCUGUCAUCGGCUGCCUGUGAAGCCCCAUCUGCAGGAGCAGAAAGGAGGACAGCACCCAAGGAGGGCUCGCAGGGAGAGGAGAAGCCAUGUACAAGAGAAAGCUGAGAGGCAUGUAUGUCUCUAAGACGGCACUAAAGCAUCAGUUUGACCCCCGUAACACUCCAAAGGAAACAUACCUGCUGUGCAAACUGCAGUGGGGUGAGGCCGGCACACCUUGGAUACACUGGGUCAGAAAUGACAAUUACCAUGCUGAAGUCUACUUUCUGGAGAAGAUCUUUAAGACGAGAAGAACCAAUAAUUAUGUCAACUGUUCUAUCACGUGGUACUUGUCCUGGAGCCCCUGUGAAAACUGCUGCUAUAAAAUACUGAAUUUCUUAAAGAAGCACUCAUACGUCAACAUAGACAUACAUAUAGCACGGCUUUUUUGCAUAAGAGAUGAAAGAAUCCGCCAAGGUCUGAAGAACCUUGUGAGAUUGGCAGAUGUAAAAAUUUCUGUCAUGGAAACUGAAGGCAAGAUUUCCUGUGCUUUGUGGGACUGUGAAGGGAUGAACUGGUGAACUUUGUGCAUAGGUGAAUCUUGUAUGGGCUUGCUUCUGUGCCCAGUGUCCUGCCCAGCUUCUCUGGGGACACAUCCAUCACCAUUCAGUGACUGAGUGUCACGUCCAAAAACAGAUGUUCAAAUAUUGCAGUAGAAGGGGGACAGGACUCCUAGCAGCCAGACCUGUAUGAAAACUGUAUGAAAAUUCUUGCUUAUUUAGAGGCACCAUCUUUUUGUCACUCCUGACGGACUGGGAGAUAGGGUGCUUCUCCCUUGUCCUAGGGCACUAAAUGCAGUUCCACUGGUAAGGGGGUGGGGGUGGGGGGUGAGGAAUGCCCAGAGAGAAUGGCAUUGGUUCCAAAUACAGAGUGGACAGCAUCCAUUAGCUGGCCUGUCCAUGGCCAAGCUGUCUCUGUGCCAUGGGUGCAGGGAAAAGGUUAAAAAGUCUUGUUGCCUGAGCUUCUCUGGUAUCUGAAUAAACUCAGGUUAGUCAUCUUGGUUCCAUUUCUCCAGACUACAAUAACUGCUGGAAAAUCUUUAUCCAAGGAGAUGAUAAUGAUGAUUCCUGGGCUAAGGGCUUUCAAUCAGAGAUAACUACGAAUCGUUUGAAGCUCAAGGAUGUCUUUGAGGAUCUUCCAUGCAUAUAAGCAUAGAAUCACUGAAUAUCUCAAGUUGGAAGGGAACCAUAAGGAUCAUCAUGUCAAACUCUCUGCUCCCCACAGGACUACCUAAAACUAAACUAGAAAAGCAUCAUCCAGAUGCUCCUUGAACCCUGCCAGGCUUGGUGCUGUGACCACUUUCCUGGGGGGACUGUUCCAGCGACUGACCACCCUCUCAGUGAAGAACUUCUUCCUAAUGUCCAAGUUGAACUUCCCCUGAUGCAGCUUCAUUCCAUUUCCUCCUGUCCUAUUGCUAGUCACCAGAGAGAGGAGAUCAGCAUCGGAAUUACCCUGUCGCAGGUGGAGAAUCCGGCGCUUGCUCUUGUUAAAUUUCAUGCAGCUGGUGACUGCCCAGCUCUCCAGUCUAUCUAGAUCCCUCUGUAAGGCCUCUCUUGCCUCCAGGGGGUCCGCAGCUCCUCCUGGUUCAGCAUCCUCGCCAAACUUACUUAAUGUACAUUCAAUUCCUGCAUCCAGAUCAUUUAUAAACACAUUAAAGAGCACUGGACCGAAAAUUGAGCCCUGGGGAACCCCACUGGCAGCUGGUUGCCAGCCUGAGGUAACCCCAUUUACUUUAACCCUUUGAGCCUGACCCGUCAGCCACCUGCUCAUCCAAUGUGUUACAGACUUGCCUGUUAUCCAGAAGGAUACUGUGAGAGACUGUAUCAAAAGCUUUGCUAAAAUCCCAAAAUACCACAUCUACUGACUUCCCUUUGUCAACUGGACUGGUGGCCUUGUCAUAAAAGGAAAUUAAGUUGGUUAAGCAGGACUUUCUCCUCAUGAACCUGUGUUGGCUAUGACCGGUGACUGUGUGGUGUCUCGAGUGUUUUUCAGUAACUCCCAGAAUAACCUUCUCCAUAAUUUUACCAAGCACUGAAGUGAGACUGAUAGGCCUGUGCUUACCAGGGUCUUCCUUCUUACCCUUCUUGAAAACUGGGACAACAUUUGCCAGCUUCCAAUCAAUGGGAACCUCUUCAGACUGCCAAGAUCAUUGAAAAAUAGUGGAGAGAGGUCCUGCAAAGACAUCGGCCAGCUCUUUCAGUACACUGGGAUGAAUCCCAUCAGGCUCCAUAGAUUGAUAUGCAUCCAGCUGGAGCAGCAAGUCUUGAACAAGCUCAGGAUCAGCUGUGAGUUUAUCAUCCCCCCAGCCAUGGUCUUCCAACCCAGGGCUCCAGAGGUCCCAGGGCCCAUCACCAGUGUUAAAGACAGAGGUGAAGAAGGUAUUAAACAUCUCUGCUUUGUCUACAUCCCUAUUUGUGAGGUGACUGACCUCAUUGUGUAAUGGGCCAAUGUUAUCUCUGAUCCUCUACUAAGAGAUUUCACUCCCAGAAGAUGGCCAGAUGCCUUACUGCUUGUAUGUAGAAGAUAAUAAUCAUAAAAUGUUGCUAGCAUUCCCCAGUUUCUAAAAGUCACCAAUAUCCUGGACAGAUAGCUUGUCACUGGGAGUCUUGUAUAUACUGGACAGUGCUAAAUAUCCCCGAUGACAAACUUCUGGAUGUGGAAAUGGAGGCAGAUAGCAGCCAGAAUGGGAAACAGUGUCCCAGGCGCAAUACUCUGCUAAUAUUCCUCCUCUGAUGUGGCCCAGUAGUGCACAGGCUGAUGGGAAAAGGGUACUUAAAGAGGACUGCUGAAUUAGCAUCCAAACAGUUGAUUAAUUCACUGUGACUUACUUCACAGUUGAGGCAUUUUGAUGAAAACAGGUUAUUUCCCUGACUCUUGGAAAAUAGAUCUCUAACAAGAGAAAGGCAGGGUGCCAAAGGGAACAUCUCUGGAGACUUGCUGUCCUCUCAGCUAGCCUUGUCUCCUACCUUAUGCUGCGAGAAGAACAAAAGUGAACCUAAAAAUACAGAAAAUGCCCCAUCAGGUCAGAGAGCAUAUCCAGACACUGUAUCUAACAGUGGCAAGAGAAGAUGCAUUCCAGGGAGAGCAAAGAAGCCUGGCCACUAUCUGUAGUUCACUAUGAUCCGGUCACACUAUUUCAACAUCCACAAUGACCAUGGCUGCGAACCCUGCAUCUUCCCUUCAGUGUCUGUUUGUGGACUUGUUACCAUUAAUUUAUCAGAUAUCUUCUGACCUUGUCCUCCCACCUGUGUCCACAGUUUACUGGGGCAGCAAAUUCCAGAAGUUCACAGCUUGCCAUGUAAAUACAUACUUGUCUCUGUUUUAAACUGAUAACUAAUCACAGUAAGUGCCACUUCUUGCCAUACUAAUGUCUCAUCAUUAAUCACUGAAACACCUGUCUGCAUUGGAAAGACUGUGCUAGCCUACAGAAUUUUCCACUGGCUCAGUAGGAGCUAUAAAUGUAACCGACAGCAACACUUGAUCUUAAAAGAGCAACUUAAAAAAUCCACAGAUGCACUAUUCAACAGAAGCAAAUCCUCCAGCCACCAAGUGAUGUGACUGUGGAAUGAUAAUUACAGCACUUGUGGUCAUUGCAUUUCAGCAGCUCCACUCAACUGGCUAAAAGAAAGUAUUUCUGUCCACAAGCCCACCCUGGAACUGGACCACUACAUAUAUCCACUGGAAACUGCUUGAAAAGCAAGGCACAUUAGGCUGCACAAAGAACUGUAAGAAUGCAGCUGUAUCCCUUGCAGUAAUGCAGCUCUCUUUGCUCCUCUGUCCGGUUGCUUGAUUCUCUGUACCGUGCAGACGUACAAGCCUGCUGUCAGUACCGAGGGCUUGGGAAUAGAACCUCUCUGCAUCCCCUAUUCCCGAUGCUAGAUUAUUUUUGUAAGACUAGGAUAAAUAUUCAUUGAUUUAUACACAUUUUAAUCAUUAAACUCUAAAGCUAUG